UUUCUUAUUUUACAUCAUAGCAUCAUGCACGAAGAAUGAAGAUUGUACAUCCCUAGAAUGUAUAUAUCCUAAAAAUCAGACGUGUGUUUUUUAUACGUGUAUCUGUUGGUAAUUGAUAUUGUUAAGUUGAAAAUAAAUCUAUCUUACUUUCAAACUUGUAAUUCUUUUCUUCUAUGAAAUUGUUGUGCAUUUGGUACUCUUUAUUUCUCAAACUUUAUUUUAUACUUUUAUUUCUUCAACUAGUCCAAAAGUGUAUUAAUUUUCUUGUUCGUCUCUCCUUAUUUGGAUCUUAAAAUUGUGAUAUUGGAUCGCUGUUGGUUUGGACCGGUUUUGUUUGAUAUCGAUUCAGUAUGGUUUUGGUAUUUCUUUUUCUUUUAGUCCCUAAUAAACAUAAUUUUAAUAUGUUAUUGACAUUUUUUAAAUAUAAUGUGAACAUACAUAGGCUUGACAUAAUAGAUGGACAUAACAUAACAUGCACAAGUCUUGAAAAUAAAGGAUCAUAAUAUUUACAUUAACAUAGACAUAAACCGGUCUUAGGAACAAAAAAUGAAAUUGAAAACUUUGGGAGGACUAAACCUCCUGAUUUUAUUUAUAUUGACUAAAUUCAAAAUUUGCUAUAUUUUUAGAAGCUAUAAACUUAUUUAAUUUAAUCCCAAAUUUUAAGAACUAAUGUGCUAUCAUCAAAACAUUAUGUACAUGUAGAUCUAGCUUGUACCACUAUCUAGGGAGUGUUGGGAACGUAUUUCAAGGUCAUCUAAUUAACCAGAUGAUAACCCGAAAUCGCCCUCAAUC
rnacentral:lncRNA from 1 species